GGCGGAGAGCAUGGAUCAGGAUGCCAGCCUGGGGAUGAGCCAGAACGCUGGUGGUCAGGGGUUCAAAUCCCCUCGGCCCCA
rnacentral:tRNA from 1 species